rnacentral:rRNA from 1 species
GACGAACGCUGGCGGCGUGCUUAACACAUGCAAGUCGAACGGAAAGGCCCUGCUUGCAGGGUGCUCGAGUGGCGAACGGGUGAGUAACACGUGGGUGAUCUGCCCCUUAUUUUGGGAUAAGCCUGGGAAACUGGGUCUAAUACUGGAUAGGACCAUGCUGUCGGUGGUGUGGUGGAAAGAUUAGUUUCGGUAAGGGAUGAGCUCGCGGCCUAUCAGCUUGUUGGUGGGGUAAUGGCCUACCAAGGCGUCGUCGGGUAGCCGGCCUGAGAGGGUGGACGGCCACAUUGGGACUGAGAUACGGCCCAGACUCCUACGGGAGGCAGCAGUGGGGAAUAUUGCACAAUGGGCGCAAGCCUGAUGCAGCGACGCCGCGUGGGGGAUGACGGCCUUCGGGUUGUAAACUCCUUUCAGCCAUGACGAAGCCCUUGUGGCGACGGUAGUGGUAGAAGAAGCACCGGCUAACUACGUG